AAUUCUGCAAUAGGCGAAAGCUUGACAGAGUUACUCUGAGUGAUGCCCGUUAAGGGCAUCUUUUGGCACCUCUAAAAAUGGUGCAGAAUAAGGGGUGGGCAAGUCUGGUGUCAGCCGCCGCGGUAAUACCAGCACCCCGAGUGGUCGGGACGAUUAUUGGGCCUAAAGCAUCCGUAGCUUGUCCUGCAAGUCCUCCGUUAAAUCCACCUGCUCAACAGAUGGGCUGCGGGGGAUACUACAGGGCUAGGAGGCGGGAGAGGCAAACGGUACUCAGUGGGUAGGGGUAAAAUCCUCUGAUCCACUGAAGACCACCAGUGGCGAAGGCGGUUUGCCAGAACGCGCUCGACGGUGAGGGAUGAAAGCUGGGGGAGCAAACCGGAUUAGAUACCCGGGUAGUCCCAGCUGUAAACGAUGCAGACUCGGUGAUGGGUUGGCCUCGUGCCAGCCCAGUGCCGCAGGGAAGCCGUUAAGUCUGCCGCCUGGGGAGUACGGUCGCAAGACUGAAACUUAA
rnacentral:rRNA from 1 species